rnacentral:rRNA from 1 species
GACGAACGCUGGCGGCGUGCCUAAUACAUGCAAGUCGAGCGGGCUUGCCUAGAUGAUUUUAGUGCUUGCACUAAAUGAAACUAGAUACAAGCGAGCGGCGGACGGGUGAGUAACACGUGGGUAACCUGCCCAAGAGACUGGGAUAACACCUGGAAACAGAUGCUAAUACCGGAUAACAACACUAGACGCAUGUCUAGAGUUUGAAAGAUGGUUCUGCUAUCACUCUUGGAUGGACCUGCGGUGCAUUAGCUAGUUGGUAAGGUAAUGGCUUACCAAGGCGAUGAUGCAUAGCCGAGUUGAGAGACUGAUCGGCCACAUUGGGACUGAGACACGGCCCAAACUCCUACGGGAGGCAGCAGUAGGGAAUCUUCCACAAUGGACGAAAGUCUGAUGGAGCAACGCCGCGUGAGUGAAGAAGGGUUUCGGCUCGUAAAGCUCUGUUGGUAGUGAAGAAAGAUAGAGGUAGUAACUGGCCUUUAUUUGACGGUAAUUACUUAGAAAGUCACGGCUAACUACGUGCCAGCAGCCGCGGUAAUACGUAGGUGGCAAGCGUUGUCCGGAUUUAUUGGGCGUAAAGCGAGUGCAGGCGGUUCAAUAAGUCUGAUGUGAAAGCCUUCGGCUCAACCGGAGAAUUGCAUCAGAAACUGUUGAACUUGAGUGCAGAAGAGGAGAGUGGAACUCCAUGUGUAGCGGUGGAAUGCGUAGAUAUAUGGAAGAACACCAGUGGCGAAGGCGG